rnacentral:tRNA from 1 species
AAAAAGAUAAGCUAAUUAAGCUAAUGGGUUCAUACCCCAUUCAUGAAGGUAUUAAUCCUUCUCUUUUUA